rnacentral:rRNA from 1 species
UGGGGAAUCUUAGACAAUGGGGGAAACCCUGAUCUAGCCAUGCCGCGUGAUUGAUGAAGGCCUUAGGGUUGUAAAGAUCUUUCGCUGGGGACGAUAAUGACGGUACCCAGAGAAGAAGUCCCGGCUAACUUCGUGCCAGCAGCCGCGGUAAUACGAAGGGGACUAGCGUUGUUCGGAAUUACUGGGCGUAAAGCGCGUGUAGGCUGAUUAGUCAGUCAGGGGUGAAAUCCCAGAGCUCAACUCUGGAACUGCCUUUGAUACUGCUAGUCUUGAGACCGGUAGAGGUGAGUGGAAUUCCGAGUGUAGAGGUGAAAUUCGUAGAUAUUCGGAGGAACACCAGUGGCGAAGGCGGCUCACUGGACCGGUACUGACGCUGAGACGCGAAAGUGUGGGGAGCAAACAGGAUUAGAUACCCUGGUAGUCCACACCGUAAACGAUGAAUGCCAGCUGUCGGGUUGCAUGCAAUUCGGUGGCGCAGCUAACGCUUUAAGCAUUCCGCCUGGGGAGUACGGCCGCAAGGUUAAACUCAAAUGAAUGACGG